rnacentral:rRNA from 1 species
CCCUACGGGGUGCAGCAGCCGCGAAACCUUUACAAUGCACGCAAGUGUGAUAAGGGAAUCCAAGUGCUUAUGCUUUGCAUAGGCUUUUGCCAAGAGUAAAUAUCUUGGCGAAUAAGUGGUGGGUAAGACUGGUGCCAGCAGCCGCGGUAACACCAGCGCCACGAGUGGGGAUCACGAUUAUUGGGCCUAAAGCGUCCGUAGCUGGUUAAAUAAGUCUUUUGUGAAAUCGUUGCGCUUAACGUAACGCUGUGCAAAAGAGACUGUUAAACUUGGAACCGGGAGGGGUCAGAAGUAUUCCAGGGGGAGCGGUAAAAUGUUAUAAUCCCUGGAGGACUACCUGUGGCGAAGGCGUCUGACUAGAACGGAUCCGACAGUGAGGGACGAAAGCUGAGGGAGCAAUCCGGAUUAGAUACCCGAGUAGUCUCAGCUGUAAACGCUGUGAGCAAGGUGUCGCGCAUUCUAUAUGGAUGCGCGGUGUCGAAAUGAAGAUGUUAAGCUCACCGCCUGGGAAGUAUGGUCGCAAGGCUGAAACUUAAAGGAAUUGGCGGGGGAGCAC